UUCAGAGACGGCGAGCGUUGUUCGGAUUUACUGGGCGUAAAGGGUCCGCAGGUGGUGAGGUAAGUCUGACGUGAAAUCCCGCAGCCUAACUGCGGAACUGCGUCGGAAACUGCCUCGCUAGAGAGUGGUAGAGGAGACUGGAAUUCUCGGUGUAGCGGUGAAAUGCGUAGAUAUCGAGAGGAACACCGGUGGCGAAGGCGAGUCUCUGGGCCACUUCUGACACUCAUGGACGAAAGCGUGGGGAG
rnacentral:rRNA from 1 species